GUCCACGCCCUAAACGAUGUCGACUGGUUGUUGGGGGUUUGACACUCUCAGUAACGAAGCUAACGCGUGAAGUCGACCGCCUGGGGAGUACGGCCGCAAGGUUAAAACUCAAAGGAAUUGACGGGGACCCGCACAAGCGGUGGAUUAUGUGGAUUAAUUCGAUGCAACGCGAAAACCUUACCUACCCUUGACAUGUCCUGGAGCUCGGUGAAAGCCGGGUGUGCCCGAAAGGGAACGGGAACACAGGUGCUGCAUGGCUGUCGU
rnacentral:rRNA from 1 species